GUUUAUUGUUGUUGGGUUGAAUGUUUGGUUAGAGGUGGAUGAUGUCCAGGUGUUUAUUGUUGUUGGGUUGAAUGGUUGAAUGUUUGGUUAGAGGUGGAUGAUGUUCAGGUGUUGAUUGUUGUUGGGUUGAAUGUUUGAAUGUUUGGUUAGAGGUGGAUGAUGUCCAGGUGUUGAUUGUUGUUGGGUUGAAUGUUUGAAUGUUUGGUUAGAGGUGGAUGAUGUCCAGGUGUUUAUUGUUGUUGGGUUGAAUGUUUGGUUAGAGGUGGAUGAUGUCCAGGUGUUGAUUGUUGUUGGGUUGAAUGUUUGAAUGUUUGGUUAGAGGUGGAUGAUGUCCAGGUGUUUAUUGUUGUUGGGUUGAAUGUUUGGUUAGAGGUGGAUGAUGUCCAGGUGUUUAUUGUUGUUGGGUUGAAUGUUUGGUUAGAGGUGGAUGAUGUUCAGGUGUUUAUUGUUGUUGGGUUGAAUGUUUGGUUAGAGGUGGAUGAUGUUCAGG